rnacentral:siRNA from 1 species
CCGAAUUUUCGGGUAAAUAGCCA